rnacentral:rRNA from 1 species
CCUACGGGUGGCAGCAGUGAGGAAUAUUGGUCAAUGGACGGAAGUCUGAACCAGCCAUGUCGCGUGCGGGACGACGGCUCUAUGGAUUGUAAACUUCUUUUGUCCCAGGGUAAACCUGAAUCCGUGUGUUCGGCUGAAAAUACUGUGCGAAUUAGGAUCGGCUAACUCCGUUCCAGCCGCCGCGGUACUACGGAGGAUCCAAGCCUGAUCCGGAGUUUUUGGGUUUUAAGGGUGCGUAGGGGGGCUGUUAAGUCAGCGGUAAAAGCCCGGGGCUCAACCCCGGCGAGCCGUUGAAACUGGCUGUCUUGAGAUGGCGAGAGGUAUGCGGAAGGCGCAGGGUAGCGGUGAAAUGCUUAGAGAUUGCGCAGAACUCCGAUUGCGAAGGCAGCAUACCGGCGGCGAUCUGACGCUGAGGCACGAAAGCGUGGGUAUCGAACAGGAUUAGAUACCCUAGUAGUC